CGAGAGAGUUUGAAAAACUCCCCAAACCCAUUGUGAACAUACCUGUUUGUUUGCUUCGGCAGGCGGUCCCCGGGGGGACCUCUCGCCCGCUCUCGGGCGGGUGCCUGCCGCAAGGCCACUAUACAAACUCUGCUGUAUCUGUUAUCUGAGAAUAAAAACCCGCUGAGAAGCGGUGUAAAUCAGUCA
rnacentral:misc_RNA from 1 species